rnacentral:lncRNA from 1 species
UCGAACUCACUGAAUUGUUGAUGUGUUACUGAUUUGUUGGUCUGUGCAGGGGUUCACGAAGGUGAAGAACCUGGAGGGUGGCUACCUCUCCUUGCUCAAGAGCGUCAGUUACCCACAGCAGGCAGCAGCAGCCAUCCACCACUAAUACAGCCGGGAUGAUUUUCCUUUGUUUUUCAAGGCUCUCAGGAACAAGUUUGGUAAUCUAUUAUUUACGAUGUACAGAGGAAAUUGCCAAGGAAAAGAAGGCAUUUUGUAUGUAUAAAACUAUAUAGGCAUCUGAGACUUGGACUUGGGCCAACCAAUAGUACUACUGCUACCAGAUUUUUGAUUGGUUUUCUUUGAGAAUGUAUGGACAAGAAGGGAAAAAAAUGUUUGCAGGCGCAGUUGGUUACCCACCCAUUUGGGUGUCUAUGCUCAUAGUACUUAGUAGUUCUCUACCUGUUCUUUCCUUUCAUACAGCUGGUCAAAUUGGAAGAAAUGCAUUUUUAUACCACAGAAAUUGGGACAUUAAAUUUUUAGAUAAGAGUGCGUCGAUACAACCCCUAAUUGUUUCUUAAAAGGUUUUGUUUUCGUCCAACACGAUUAAUCCAAAAUGAGUUACCAGUUGGGUGAUUAGGUUCACUUCGCAAAUACAAGAAUAUUUCAUCAGAAUUUGUGAAUUAAUGCAAAUGAAAUAUAAAAGUUUGUUAUAUAUAGGCUCAUAGGUCAAGUUGUACCGAGUCAAAGAAAGCUGAUGCCUUCUUCGCAAAAAAAAAGGAGAAGAGAAAGUCGAUGGCACUGAAAUUUCUUAGGUCGUCGUCAACACUAUUGCCACCAACAUCAUCGAGGUAGUAACCAACAUCAUCGAGGUAGUAACCGACGUCAACACUAUCGUCAACACUAUUUCUUAGGUGCGCCCCCACCCAUGAGGGUGGUUGUACCAACACCAUCGCAACCAAGAUCCAGGCUAUCAAUGUCAUUGUUGUGGCUGAGGGCCCGGACGCACAAAGGUAUUUGUCCGUGGUCCUUGCGCUAAUGGAGGAAAGAGAGAUGGUGAACCAAAUUGCAGAAAGUAUGCUCGGAUGACGAGGCGUCAUUGGCAUGAACUGUCAGCUCUUAUGGACCAGCCAUAAGAGGGUAGCUCUUAUGGGCCAACCAGUUACCAGUAGCAUGAUCCGCCUGCUCAUUUUUCUUGAAUCACAGAUACUAAUGAUUUGUAUUUUAAUGGUCCUAGAUCUAUUAUAAUAGUUCACCAGAAGUACAAUGCACCCCAAAUAUAAUAGAAAUUACAUCCAAGUCUCUAGACCACCGAAUAACCACUAUCACCGCCAAAGGCGUCGACGCGCCGCUGUUGCCACUUCCCCACUAGAGCCAACCUAGCAUAGUGAUGACAAAGUGCUCUUGGAGACACAAUCGUCUUCGUUGAACCAUUGAACCGAUCAGAAGCGUCUUUGACCAGAUCUUUCCAUCAUACAUCACGAGAAGAACCCUAGCCGCACCGUCCCAAGGAUACACCAUGAAUCCAUGUGGAAGCUCCACCGACUCUGUCUAGGCGAACAAUAUGAGAAGGAUAGCAGCAUGGAAGACCAUAUCGAUGAAAAAGCACCGUCCAUGCAAGGACUAAAAAAAAACUAUAAUCUAACCUACUAGUCGGAGCUGAGGAACAUGGAUUUGCCGUCGGAACAUGGAGGGGAAGAGUUUGGCCUAGUUAAUCUAACUUAAUCUAACCAAGGCGACAUGCAGAGGGGAGGAGAAUCCAUGGGCUUGCCGUCAGAGCAUGGAGGGGAAGAGUGUUUGCCCUAGUUAGCUCUUAUACGAUGGGAAGGGAAGGAAAAGUAUCCAAGGGAAAAUAAUUAUGAAGGAAAAAUAUUUUAAACUAUAAUAGAUAAACUUAACUAGUAAAAUGAAACAAAAAUGUUCACAUGUAUUAAAAUAAUAUUUAUCAUGCAUAGAAAAAAUAUUUUGGUAUUAAAAGUGUUCAUGUAUUUGAAAAAAAAUGAUUUGAGAAAUGUUGUCCCCAUAUGUAUGAAUGUAUGCGCAUGACAUUUAAUAAAAAAAAUCUUGUUGUGUUUUUUUUUGCAUUUUUUGUGUAGUUUACUCCCUUGAUUCAAUGGAUAAAUAUACAUAUUGGAUAUUUACACAUUAGUCAAAACAAAAUUGGCGACCAAAGCAUUGGAAAACUAUUCUUUUGGAGAAAUGAGAUGCAAGGGAAUUGUGCCGUGUGUGCAAGGCAUGGGUGAAAUGAAAUGGCCAUGGAUAGGAUAAGAGGACAAGGAGGAGGAGGAGGAGGUGGAGGAGCCCCCACCGAUGCAAUCCUUUUCAUCCCCUCCAUGAUUGAAUUGUUUGCUCCCUGCAGUGGAAAGAAACCGUUGUGUCGUUGUUGAUCAACAGGAUCCUUUCGCUUCACUUAUCAGUGGAGUACGUGGAUCACACUAGACGAGGAGAUAAUUCAACUGAUCUGAGCAUUUCUUUAUUGUCCCUCUGGCGUGUCGCCGCGUCAUCAUGGAAAUCGUGACCACUUGUCCUCUUCUUACCAAACAUAUAUACAUAUUGUUGCAUCUUGUAGACAACUGCCAGAUCAUGGCUGCCUGGCUACAUUUUCGUAUCAACAAUGCCCAUGAACAUGAUCACUUGGCACAAAACCCUUAUAAAAAUACGGUGCAAAAGGAGAUUCUUAUACACCAUGUCAUUUCAUAGAAAACAAACACAACAAGCACGUAUAUAUGUAGUUGACAUUUCCAUGUAUCUAAUUUAUGUAAGGUAGGCGACUUUAGACGAUCAUGAAGUGAUGGAUGCGGCUACCCGGGCCGUGAUAUGUUCGACCGCUGCCAAGUCAUCAUAUUUUCCUAUAAAUGACACCAGUAGGUAGCACCUAUCUUUCCAUAACCCAAUCCACUCCACGGCCUCUGGAGACCACCACACACGGAACCGGAAGCCCUUUCCUCCCCGGUGCUCAAUCCUCCAUAGAUGGGCUCCCUGCGAAGCAGCACGAGCACGGCAGUGGACAGCGUGGACGCGGAGGCGGCGUGCGCACUGCUGGCCUUGGAGCAGUACGGGUACGUGGACGUGCGGAUGUGGGAGGACUUCGAAAAGGGUCACGUUGCCGGUGCACGCAACGUGCCCUACUACCUCUCCGUCACGCCCCAUGGCAAGGAGCGCAACCCGGACUUCGUCGAUCAGGUUGCGGCGCUCCACUCCAAGGAGGACCGGUUCCUUGUUGGCUGCCGCUCUGGGGUCCGGUCCAGGCUCGCCACCGCAGACCUUGUCGCCGCUGUAAGUCCGUUUGUGAAUGGUUGAUUUUUUUGACUGGUGUUGGUAAGAUCACCAUCUCUGAUUGGGAUGUGAAUUCGUUUUGGUUUUCUUUGCAGGGAUUCGCAAACGUGAAGAACCUCGAAGGCGGCUACCUCUCCUUGCUCAAGAGCGCAAGUUACCAAGCAGCCAGCCACCAAUGAUCCAUCAAUUGAUUCUUUGGAGUUUGGAAAGUUUGUUAGUGACCUGUUUGUGUACUAUGUAUCUGUCAUCCUUCGUCUUAUGAAGAAGAAGAAGAAGAAGAAGAAGAAGAAGCAAGUCCUUUCGCUGAGGUGCACGGCUGGGAUUGAAUGUACUUCAAAGGGAAAACAAAGCAUUAUGUAUGUAGGUACGUAUAUUGGACCUGUUUGUGUACUAUGUAUCUGUCAUCCUUCGUCUUAUGAAGAAGAAGAAGAAGAAAAAAGUCCUUUAGCUGAGGUGCACGGCUGGGAUUGAAUGUACUUCAAAGGGAAAACAAAGCAUUAUGUAUGUAGGUACGUAUAUUGGACAUGGACUUUGGACCAACCAAUUUUCAAGAAAUAAAAAUGUGUG